UGGGGAAUUUUGGACAAUGGGCGAAAGCCUGAUCCAGCAAUGCCGCGUGUGUGAAGAAGGCCUUCGGGUUGUAAAGCACUUUUGUCCGGAAAGAAAUCCUUGGCUCUAAUACAGUCGGGGGAUGACGGUACCGGAAGAAUAAGCACCGGCUAACUACGUGCCAGCAGCCGCGGUAAUACGUAGGGUGCAAGCGUUAAUCGGAAUUACUGGGCGUAAAGCGUGCGCAGGCGGUUUGCUAAGACCGAUGUGAAAUCCCCGGGCUCAACCUGGGAACUGCAUUGGUGACUGGCAGGCUAGAGUAUGGCAGAGGGGGUAGAAUUCCACGUGUAGCAGUGAAAUGCGUAGAGAUGUGGAGGAAUACCGAUGGCGAAGGCAGCCCCCUGGGCCAAAUACUGACGCUCAUGCACGAAAGCGUGGGGAGCAAACAGGAUUAGAUACCCUGGUAGUCCACGCCCUAAACGAUGUCAACUAGUUGUUGGGGAUUCAUUUCCUUAGUAACGUAGCUAACGCGUGAAGUUGACCGCCUGGGGAGUACGGUCGCAAGAUUAAAACUCAAAGGAAUUGACGGGGUCAUAGCUG
rnacentral:rRNA from 1 species